GAAUUGUCUAAUUCUAAAAAAAUGUCCAAAAAAUAUUGUUCUUAUAGCUACCGAGAACUUUAAUAUCUCUAAUAAUCUCUAGUACAUAUCUGUAGCAAGUUCCAGUCACGUGCUGCAGCAACUUUAAACUUAGUUUACCCUGGUAAGGUGUUUACUCUUGGUAUGUCUAUCAAGGUUUGAUCGCGGAGAUAAUUAGGAAUGUCCAUAUUAUUGACAAUUUUAAAAACUAGAAUGUUCCUUAGAAAUCGUCGUCUGCUGUGUAGAGUUAAGAGGCCAAGACGAGUCCGCAUUUCGUGCGCACAGGUUGUUUCUAUCAGCACUCAAUAUUGUUCUCAUAGAUUUAUUUUGAAUUUUUUCAACUCGAUUAGAGAGAACAGACCCGCAAUCCAGCCACAUGAUUGAACCGUAUAAAGAAAUACAUUUUCGGUGUUGACAUUGAGUUAAUUAUGUCAACACGGCUCUUAG